GAUGAACGCUGGCGGCGUGCCUAAUACAUGCAAGUCGAGCGAACAGACGAGGGGCUUGCUCCUCAGACGUUAGCGGCGGACGUGUGAGUAACACGUGGAUAACCUACCUAUAAUACUGGGAUAACUUCGGGAAACCGGCGCUAAUACCGGAUAAUAUAUUGAACCGCAUUGUUCAAUAGUGAAAGACGGGUUUGCUGUCACUUAUAGAUGGAUCCGCGCCGCAUUAGCUAGUUGGUAAGGUAACGGCUUACCAAGGCAACGAUGCGUAGCCGACCUGAGAGGGUGAUCGGCCACACUGGAACGGAGACACGGUCCAGACUCCUACGGGAGGCAGCAGUAGGGAAUCUUACGCAAUGGGCGAAAGCCUGACGGAGCAACGCCGCGUGAGUGAUGAAGGUCUUCGGAUCGUAAAACUCUGUUAUUAGGGAAGAACAAAUGUGUAAGUAACUAUGCACGUCUUGACGGUACCUAAUCAGAAAGCCACGGCUAACUACGUG
rnacentral:rRNA from 1 species